GACGAACUGUCCUAACGUUGUUCGGAAUCACUGGGCGUAAAGGGCGCGUAGGCGGGAUGGCAAGUCAGUCGUGAAAUCUCUCGGCUCAACCGAGAAACGUCGGCUGAUACUGCCGUUCUUGAGGGAUGCAGAGGAGACUGGAAUUCCCGGUGUAGCGGUGAAAUGUGUAGAGAUCGGGAGGAACACCGGUGGCGAAGGCGGGUCUCUGGGCAUCUCCUGACGCUGAGGCGCGAAAGCGUGGGGAGCAAACGGG
rnacentral:rRNA from 1 species